rnacentral:rRNA from 1 species
GACCAAAAAUAGCUCAGAACAUAUCAUAUAAUACUACUCUAAAACGUUAAAAUAAAACAUUUAUAAAAAUAAAAGUAUAGGUGAUAGAAAUUCUACUUGACGCUAUAGAGAAAGUACCGCAAGGGAAAUUGUGAAAGAAAAUUUAAAAGUAAAAAAAAGCAAAGUUUAACUCUUAUACCUUUUGCAUAAUGAUUCAACUAGAAAGUACUAGCAAAAAGAAUUUAAGUUAUACACCCCGAAACUAGACGAGCUACCCACUAGCAGCAUAACAGAGCAAACUCAUCUAUGUGGCAAAAUAGUGAGAAGACUAAUGGGUAGUGGCAAUAAACCUACCGAGCCUAGUGAUAGCUGGUUGUCCAGGGUAGAAUAUUAGUUCUAAUUUAAGCUUUACCUUAAAAAAAACAAAUUCAAAUGUACGCUUAAAUAAUAGUCUAAAAGGGUACAGCCUUUUAGACAUGGGAUACAGCCCCUGUCAGUGAGUAAAUAAAAAUUAAUAUACCCUAGUUGGCCUAAAAGCAGCCAUCAAACAAGAUAGCGUUCAAGCUCAACAAAAAUAUAAAAUUAAUUCCAAUUAUUAAUUAUGACACUCCUAACACAAAACUGGACUAUUCUAUUUUUAAAUAGAAGCAAUAAUGUUGAUAUGAGUAACAAGAAACAUUUCUCCUUGCAUGCGUGUAUAUCAGAACGAAUAAAUCACUGAUAGUUAACAAACAUAGAUAUAACUGCCUAAUUAAAACUUUCAGGUUCCACUGUUAGCCCAACACAGGUAUGCUAUUAAGGAAAGAUUAAAAAAAGUAAAAGGAACUCGGCAAACACAAACCCCGCCUGUUUACCAAAAACAUCACCUCUAGCAUAAAAAGUAUUAGAGGCACUGCCUGCCCAGUGACUUUAGUUCAACGGCCGCGGUAUCCUGACCGUGCAAAGGUAGCAUAAUCACUUGUUCCCUAAAUAGGGACUUGUAUGAAUGGCCUCACGAGGGUUUUACUGUCUCUUACUCUUAAUCAGUGAAAUUGAUCUUCCCGUGAAGAAGCGUGAAUAGAAAAAUAAGACGAGAAGACCCUAUGGAGCUUUAAUUAACCAGCUCAUAAGUUAUAUUAGCACCCUACUGGGAAUAAACUCACUCCUAUUGAGCUGACAAUUUAGGUUGGGGCGACCUCGGAACAAAAAAUAACUCCCGAGAAAAUUUUAACUAAGACAAACAAGUCAAGGUUACUCCAUUACAUAUUGAUCCGUCAACUAGACGACCAACGAAACAAGUUACCCUAGGGAUAACAGCGCAAUCCUAUUUAAGAGUCCAUAUCGACAAUUAGGGUUUACGACCUCGAUGUUGGAUCAGGACAUCCCAAUGGUGCAGCCGCUAUUAAUGUGUUCGUUUGUUCAACGAUUAAAGUCCUACGUGAUCUGAGUUCAGACCGGAGUAAUCCAGGUCGGUUUCUAUCUAUUUUAAAGGUCCCUCCUAGUACGAAAGGACAAGAGAGACAGGGCCCACUUAAAAUAAGCGCCCUAAUUAAUUAGAUGAGCUAAUCUUAAUCUUACUAUAUACACCAUUACCCAAGAUAAGGGUUC